rnacentral:rRNA from 1 species
GACGAACGCUGGCGGCAUGCCUAAUACAUGCAAGUCGAGCGAACAGAUGAGAGGCUUGCUUCUCUGAUGUUAGCGGCGGACGGGUGAGUAACACGUGGGUAACCUACCUAUAAGACUGGGAUAACUCCGGGAAACCGGGGCUAAUACCGGAUAAUAUUUUGAACCGCAUGGUUCAAUAGUGAAAGACGGUUUCGGCUGUCACUUAUAGAUGGACCCGCGCCGUAUUAGCUAGUUGGUAAGGUAACGGCUUACCAAGGCGACGAUACGUAGCCGACCUGAGAGGGUGAUCGGCCACACUGGAACUGAGACACGGUCCAGACUCCUACGGGAGGCAGCAGUAGGGAAUCUUCCGCAAUGGGCGAAAGCCUGACGGAGCAACGCCGCGUGAGUGAUGAAGGUCUUCGGAUCGUAAAACUCUGUUGUUAGGGAAGAACAAAUUUGUUAGUAACUGAACAAGUCUUGACGGUACCUAACCAGAAAGCCACGGCUAACUACGUGCCAGCCGCCGCUGUAA